UACGAAGGGUGCAAGCGUUACUCGGAAUUACUGGGCGUAAAGCGUGCGUAGGUGGUUCGUUAAGUCUGAUGUGAAAGCCCUGGGCUCAACCUGGGAAUGGCAUUGGAAACUGGCGACCUAGAGUGCGGUAGAGGGUAGUGGAAUUCCCGGUGUAGCAGUGAAAUGCGUAGAGAUCGGGAGGAACAUCCGUGGCGAAGGCGACUACCUGGACCAGCACUGACACUGAGGCUCGAAAGCAUGGGGAGCAAACAGG
rnacentral:rRNA from 1 species